UAGUGGGUAAAUUUAGUAUCCGCGUUUUUUCGACGCUUUUAGGUGACGAAAGCAAUUUUUGUCGCUGAAAAGCGUCAAAGACAAGCACAUGUCACGCACAUGAAUUGUUAGUACCUCACAACUCAACCCACAUUUCAAUUUUAAGGGGAAAAUAAACCCAAAUCAGACUACUCAGUUCCAACCCUAAUUAUUCCUCCCUCCUUCACGAGAUUCAUGAAUUCGAUCUAAAUCUAGAUCUUCUUGCAAUUCCCCAAAUUAUGCUUGGUGAAAUUUCUCUACUCACUUUGAACUGUGAUCGAUUUAUUCACUCUCUUUGCCGCCGUUGAUUAUAAGGCGUACUAGGGACUGUGAUUAAGAGGUUUUGAAGAAGUUUUUCCUUCACUUGAUCUCCCUGAUGCUCUUGUCUUCCUGACAUAAUAUAGCAGCCACAUUGGCAGCGUCAUGGCUGGUGGCUUGGCAACAGGUUGGGUGUUGCAGGUACCUAUGUGUUGUUGCUUUUAUUAUUAAUUGUUGUUCUAAUUUUGGUCUUGUUUGAUGCUGCUGCUGCACGCAUUGAGGUGUUGUUGCAAACUCGCUACUACCUUCCUUUGUUGAAUGAGAUACUGCCUCAGCUAUCUUCAUGGAUGUUUUUAUGUCCUAUCUUUUGGGUGUGUGUGUGUGUAUGUGUGUGUGUGUGUGUGUGUGUGUGUGUUCGUUGUUGUGAUUGUGUCCUAUCUUGUGUUAUUCAGACUUAAAUCAAUAAAAGAAAUCAUUUUUGUGAGCUUAUAAAACUACUAGGAUUCUACUUUGACAAAGCUAAGCUCACCUAUGGGUCAACCUCACUUGCCUCUGGGUAGUCCCAUCUUGUUAUGUACUUUGACUGAAAUCAAUAAAAGAAAUACUAUUUGUGUACUAAUAACUUACCUAUAGGACUCUAGGACUCAAGUUUAAUAAAUCUAAGCUUACAUUUUUUUCCAAGGAGGUCAGCAAUUGCUUCAAAAACUACAGAGAAUGAUAUUCACAAGCUUGUAUGGAGAUAUGUUUAUUCAUUUAAGAACUUUUUCAUACUUAUUUAUCGGUGAAAGAGCCAUUUUAUGUGCUAGGUUUUUGUAUACAUAUUUAUCCUUUUUUUGGUAAAGUUUUGUCCAUGUUUGUAUAUCUUAUUAAUAUAAGAGAGAAAUAAUUUAAUUAUAGAAAUUAUACUCUGAAAUUAUGAGUUGGCAAAAGAUGAACUUCAGUUAAAAUCGACUCUCUUUAACUGAAUUGUAAUAUAUUUUUCUUCAACUAAAUUGUAGCAUAAAAUUACGAGUUAGUAACUGAUGAUUGUAUGGAAUACUGUCUCUUUGAAUAAUCCCAUGAGCUUUAUUGUAUCUUACAAAGAGAUUAUGUACCACUCAGAGGAGCUGCAACCUUCUUUAAAGUUCCAUGUAGAUAGAAACCUGAUUUAGUGUUCAAGUUAUUAUGUAACAGGAUCCUGUUAUUAUGGAAUAAAUACAGAACUGCAAAUCCAUAUUCAUAGCUAUGAGAGUUACAUAGCAAUAUAGCAUUACUUGCUGAAGAAAAAUUUUGAGCCUAGGCAUCUAAGAAUGCGAAAACCAGAGUUUCCUUGUGAGCCAUGAAGCUUUUAAUUUCUAUCUGAUAAUCAUAUUAUCAUAUUAAUCAGUCAAAGUAUUUUGGGAUUUUGAAGAAUAGUUGUUGAUGAGCCUUUCAUUGUGGUGUUUGCCGAAUUUUUUUAGUGACUUGUUAAUUGUGAAGACAAAGAAAAGGGUAAUGGAGAGAGCAACCUGACGCUAGAUUGCAUGACUGAGUUUUUUGAGCAGGGUUGCUUUGAUAGUGCAGGGAUCAAGGUAUACCUUUUUUUUAAAGGAUCAAGGUAUCCUAGGAUUUUGGGUAAGUGUUACAUUAUUAUUGUUUCAAUUUAUUUUGUACUCCAAUUCUUUCAGUAAUAAUUGAGUAAUAAUUGAUUUUGAUUUGGAGUGCUUGCUUGGUCCAUUGUUGUCGCUCCCUAUGUUCCUAUUAUUGUGAAAUUUUAUUAAUUUUGGGUUGUGUUUUGCUUUUGUUGCGAUGAAAUUUGAAUUUUUGGGUUGAUUCAUGAAUGGUGAGGAUUUGAAAGAAAAGGGUGGUUUCUAGUUAUUGCUUUAAAGUCAUAGGUGUGGUUUCUUUUCGAAUCAUUAUAAUUGGUAUUCGUAUGUAUUACUAAUUCAAUUUCUUUCAUUAGUUGAAAUGAUGGAUGUUGUUCUUGUAGCAGAACGUUGACCACACUGUUGUCGACCUUGCUACUGUUGCUGUGCAAUGUUGUUGCUGUUGUUUUUGAUUCCAGAUGAUGUUGUCAGUAUUCCUAGGACAACAAUGAUUGGUCGGACACAACAAUCUUCUUCUUAAAGCGCUUGUUGGACAAUUUUCUCAGAUUGUAGGUGUAGUUCGUCAAGGGAAUACAUCUCCGGGUCUUUUAAACAAAGCAUCCGAAUUCUUAGGAAAGGCAAAACAUCAGAUUGGAAAAGGCAAUGUAGGUGCAACAAGAGAAUAGGCCGGGACACUUGAGCAUCAAAACAAGCGACUAAAUUGUCUAUAACGCCGUCAUCUAUCUAUUUUGGUUUUUAGUCUUAUUUAUAUUAGUGAUGUAUUUAUUUAGGGAUCGGACAAGCUACUAUAAUAUGCGACUUUUUUUUUAUUAUUAUUUUUAUUAAUUGUGUUGAUGUUUUCUUUUAUAAAUUUGGUAAUUAACUACGCAC